GGAGGCUGAAGCACAACACAAAUGACAGACAACUGCUGAAACAAAGCAAAGAAAUGGCAUUUCCAAAAGGAUCCAGCCAGAGGACUCAUAGGACCCAGAACUUGUGAUUCCCGAUUCAGUCCAAAGAUGUGUUGGAUGUGGAUAAGAAAUCCAGCUGUCGGUAAGUCAAGUGUUUGAGAUUAUCUCGGUAACUGGUAAGGCUACUCUUCAGGUUUGAUUAGGUGUCAACCGUAAAGUGGAAAAAGAAAAGAAAGAGGGAUCAAAUAAAGAAGACAAUUUGGAACAUGUGUUGAAGCUGGACAAGCGUACUGUGACUCGUUAUCACAGCUCCUCAGCUUUUACAGUACCAGAAUAUUUUCUUCACCUCCGUCUGUAACACAACAUCCAUCCAGUCGAACAA